rnacentral:rRNA from 1 species
UACGGAGGGGGGCGAGCGUUAUUCGGAAUUAUUGGGCGUAAAGGGCGCGUAGGCGGCUGUACAAGUCAAAGGUGAAAUCCCUCGGCUCAACUGAGGAACUGCCUUUGAAACUGUACGGCUUGAGGCCGGGAGGGGGUAGCGGAAUUCCCAGUGUAGCGGUGAAAUGCGUAGAUACUGGGAGGAACACCAGUGGCGAAGGCGGCUACCUGGACCGGUUCUGACGCUGAGGCGCGAAAGCGUGGGUAGCAAACAGG